UGGCUGUCGUAAAAACCCUAUUUGUAAACAACCAGCCCUUUAACUCGGGGCUGCGUCAUAAACACGGCGCGCUUGGAAGACCACGAUGUCAUCUUCCUUCUGUCAGGAGGAUCCAAGUGAAGCUACAGGAGUUUCAUUAACGUCAACAACUUGGACCAAACAGUUUGUUUUGCUUGAUGAAGAGCAGGAAGGGCAGCCUGGAGAGAAAGAGAAGCCGGGUUGAGCCCACUACCAUCAUCCACGUACCACGAGGAAGAUGAGGGAGAGAAAUGAUCCUACCAUUAAAGAGACUGUGAAAAGAACGUUGAGAACAUCACCACUCUACAGGAAGACACAGUCCAGUAAUGGGUGUCAGAAGUUCAGUAGUGAACGACAGAAACAAACAAUCCAAAUUACCUGCAGAAAGCCCUUGAUGGACGCUUCAGCUGCAUCGUCAGACUGGCCAGACAGCAAGAUGCCAACUUUAAUGCCAAUUUAUUUGUGUAACAUUCUGUGACCAAAUGUAUAGAUAACUUUUUGUAGAUUGUAAAAAUAGAUAACCCAUUUAUUACAAAAAAACUACACUAGAAUUAUCGCACUGCGUUGUAUGACUCCGCUAACCAGAGCAGUGUCCGUCUACAUAUUUCUACAUAUUUUCUCUCAUAUAAAUGACACUGUAUCUCUUGACAACUGAAACCAUAAGAUGAGGUCAGUGUGGCCUUGACCUUUUUACUUUAAGACAAAUACAAAGUUAGACAAUCCGAAAACAUGCAGUUAUGCCUCCGGCGACUCGCUAUUGCAGAGGCAUUAAAACCGUAGUGUAGUAGAUUGGAUUUUAUUGGUGUUACAUUGGACAUCUUGUAUGGGUACACCAAAAAAUAUAUUUGGUUUCACAUUCUAGAUGGCAAUAAGCAGAGUCAUCAACUCAGGAAAAAUAUUUCUGUAGAAAAGAAAGCCUUGUAUGUGUGUAUGUAUACAUACACACAAACGCACAAUUGAGACGUUUUUGUCUUUUAUCAUAUAU